rnacentral:rRNA from 1 species
GAACGCUGGCGGCAUGCCUAACACAUGCAAGUCGAACGGUAACGCGGAGAGCUUGCUCUCUGGCGACGAGUGGCGGACGGGUGAGUAAUACUUAGGAAUCUGCCCAGUAUGGGGGACAACAUUCGGAAACGGAUGCUAAUACCGCAUACGCACUACGGUGGAAAGUGGGGGAUCUUCGGACCUCACGCUAUUGGAUGAGCCUAAGUCGGAUUAGCUUGUUGGUGAGGUAAUGGCUCACCAAGGCGACGAUCUGUAGCUGGUCUGAGAGGACGAUCAGCCACACUGGGACUGAGACACGGCCCAGACUCCUACGGGAGGCAGCAGUGGGGAAUAUUGGACAAUGGGCGCAAGCCUGAUCCAGCAAUGCCGCGUGUGUGAAGAAGGCCUGCGGGUUGUAAAGCACUUUCAGUAGAGAAGAAAAGCCCAGGGUUAAUACCCCUGAGUCUUGACGUAACCUACAGAAGAAGCACCGGCUAACUCCGUG